rnacentral:rRNA from 1 species
UACGUAGGGUGCAAGCGUUGUCCGGAAUUAUUGGGCGUAAAGAGCUCGUAGGCGGUUCGUCGCGUCGGCUGUGAAAUCCCGAGGCUCAACCUCGGGUCUGCAGUCGAUACGGGCGGACUGGAGUUCGGCAGGGGAGACUGGAAUUCCUGGUGUAGCGGUGAAAUGCGCAGAUAUCAGGAGGAACACCGAUGGCGAAGGCAAGUCUCUGGGCAUUAACUGACGCUGAGGAGCGAAAGCAUGGGGAGCGAACAGG